UACGUAGGGGGCUAGCGUUGUCCGGAAUCAUUGGGCGUAAAGCGCGUGUAGGCGGUCCGGUAAGUCUGCUGUGAAAGUCGAGGGCUCAACCCUCGAAUGCCGGUGGAUACUGUCGGGCUUGAGUACGGGAGAGGCGAGUGGAAUUCCUGGUGUAGCGGUGAAAUGCGCAGAUAUCAGGAGGAACACCGAUUGCGAAGGCAGCUCGCUGGAACGUUACUGACGCUGAGACGCGAAAGCGUGGGGAGCAAACAGG
rnacentral:rRNA from 1 species